GCGUUUUUUAAAGCAAGGACUGGGGCCGGGAAAGAAGCGCUGGACCGCCGGGCUCCUAAGCCCACCCGACGCGGCUUCUCCUGAGGAAUAAAGAGGAAGACGAGGAAGGAAAAAAGCUAAAAGAAGGAGAGGAUCUCAGCAAGAUUUUUUUGGAGUAGCAGUUGGUCUUGUAAGCUGGUUGGAUAGGAGGCUGCUUGAAGAUUAUAUACAGCUAGGUAACAUCAAGCAGAGGUUGCCACAGGUACACCCAUUAGGAGAGAUAGUAGACUGUGAAACAAAGAGCAUGUCCAAGAAGCUGAAACACCAGCAUCUCUCAAGAAGGCUCUUGAAGAAACUACUGAAUGGUAUGGUUACCUUUCAAAUUCAGAGAUUGUGUCCUGAGUCAGCAGUAACAGCUGAAUCUCCAUGGUGGGACUGGCAACAUUUGACCCCACACUCUCCAAUAAACUUGUGAUAUACUAAACGGGAGAGUUCGCACUUCCUUCUGGGUCUGCCUGUUUCAAUUUCUUAGCGCAAGUUCAGGCAUAAAAAAAGUCCUACACCUCCCACUAUUACCCAGCCAGGAUGCUAGAAGUUAUAGGACUUUAUUUAGGAUUGCUCCUUUAGUUAACCAGGUUCUAGGUUGCACCGUAAGCCCAAACAAAGGUCGUUAUUCUGUUAUGGGGCUGUCGGAAUCCAGGCUUGGAACAAAGGCUUACUUAGUACAUAUGUGCCCGAGGGGCCACAAUUUUGGGGAGAAUCUGUAUAGGGGCCCCUAAAUCCAUGAACAAAUUACACACACACACCCCGUUCCUGCCUAAAUAACUACAAACCUUCCACGCCUCCCA